rnacentral:rRNA from 2 species
AUCAAUAAGCGGAGGAAAAGAAAAUAACAAUGAUUUCCUUAGUAACGGCGAGUGAACAGGAAAAAGCUCAAAGUUGGAACCUGUUUGGCCUAGCUAAACCGGAUUGUAAACUGUAGAAGUGUUUUCCAGGCAAGCCGGACCGAUAAGUCCUUUGGAACAGGGCAUCAUAGAGGGUGAGAAUCCCGUCUUCGGUCUGAGCAUUUGCCUUUUGCGAUACACUUUCAAAGAGUCAGGUUGUUUGGGAAUGCAGCCUAAAUUGGGUGGUAAAUCUCACCUAAAGCUAAAUAUUGGCGAGAAACCGAUAGCGAACAAGUACCGUGAGGGAAAGAUGAAAAGAACUUUGAAAAGAGAGUUAAACAGUAUGUGAAAUUGUUAAAAGGGAACCGUUUGGAGCCAGACUGGCUUGUCUGUAAUCAGUCUAAGCUUCGGCUUGGAUGCACUUGCAGGCUAUGCCUGCCAACGACAAUUUGGCUUGAGGGAAAAAACUAAGGGAAAUGUGGCCCAUCCGUGGGUGUUAUAGUCCCUUAGAAAAUACCUUGGGCUGGAUUGAGGUACGCAGCGAAUGCUAUUUGGCGAGUUGGCUGGGAAUAUUUUCUGAGGUGCUUUGGUACUGAGGUUGAUAUUCCUAGUUACACUUCUAUUCGCUUAGGUUGUUGGCUUAAUGACUCUAAAUGAC